rnacentral:rRNA from 1 species
GACGAACGCUGGCGGCGUGCCUAAUACAUGCAAGUAGAACGCUGAAGGAGGAGCUUGCUUCUCCGGAUGAGUUGCGAACGGGUGAGUAACGCGUAGGUAACCUGCCUGGUAGCGGGGGAUAACUAUUGGAAACGAUAGCUAAUACCGCAUAAGAGUAGAUGUCGCAUGACAUUUGCUUAAAAGGUGCAACUGCACCACUACCAGAUGGACCUGCGUUGUAUUAGCUAGUUGGUGAGGUAACGGCUCACCAAGGCAACGAUACAUAGCCGACCUGAGAGGGUGAGCGGCCGCACUGGGACUGAGACACGGCCCAGACUCCUACGGGAGGCAGCAGGAGGGAAUCUUCGGCAAUGGACGGAAGUCUGACCGAGCAACGCCGCGUGAGUGAAGAAGGUUUUCGGAUCGUAAAGCUCUGUUGUAAGGGAAGAACGAGUGUGAGAGUGGAAAGUUCACACUGUGACGGUAUCUUACCAGAAAGGGACGGCUAACUACGUG